rnacentral:rRNA from 1 species
UGCAGUCGAGCGAUGGAUUAGAGAGCUUGCUCUUAUGAAGUUAGCGGCGGACGGGUGAGUAACACGUGGGUAACCUGCCCAUAAGACUGGGAUAACUCCGGGAAACCGGGGCUAAUACCGGAUAAUAUUUUGAACUGCAUGGUUCGAAAUUGAAAGGCGGCUUCGGCUGUCACUUAUGGAUGGACCCGCGUCGCAUUAGCUAGUUGGUGAGGUAACGGCUCACCAAGGCAACGAUGCGUAGCCGACCUGAGAGGGUGAUCGGCCACACUGGGACUGAGACACGGCCCAGACUCCUACGGGAGGCAGCAGUAGGGAAUCUUCCGCAAUGGACGAAAGUCUGACGGAGCAACGCCGCGUGAGUGAUGAAGGCUUUCGGGUCGUAAAACUCUGUUGUUAGGGAAGAACAAGUGCUAGUUGAAUAAGCUGGCACCUUGACGGUACCUAACCAGAAAGCCACGGCUAACUACGUGCCAGCAGCCGCGGUAAUACGUAGGUGGCAAGCGUUAUCCGGAAUUAUUGGGCGUAAAGCGCGCGCAGGUGGUUUCUUAAGUCUGAUGUGAAAGCCCACGGCUCAACCGUGGAGGGUCAUUGGAAACUGGGAGACUUGAGUGCAGAAGAGGAAAGUGGAAUUCCAUGUGUAGCGGUGAAAU